rnacentral:lncRNA from 1 species
GGCGGCGGCGGCUCCCGGUGGCACCUGCGGGGACAUGGGUCAGCGCCCCGCACGCACACGCGUGACGUGGGCGGGGACACGCGGAGGGACACGCGAGGUGACACGGGAUGGCGACACGCGGUGACGUGGGAGGACACGGGAAGACACGGGAUGUCACAGGACGACACGGGACGACACAGGAUAACACAGAUCAACAUGGGAUGACACAGGACAACACGGGAUGACACAGGAUGACACGGAUCAACAUGGGAUGACACGGGAUGACACGGGACGACAACACAGAUCAAGACGAGUCGACAGGGGAUGACACAGGACAACAUGCGAUGACACGGGAUGACACAGGACAACGUGGGACAACAACACAGGUCAACACGGGUCAACACGGGUCAACACGGGAUGACAUUGGAUGACACAUGAUGUCACGGGACAACACAAGACAACACGGGAUGACAACAUGGAUCAACACGGGUCAACACGGGUCAACACGGGAUGACACAGGUCAACAUGGGAGAACACAGGAUGACACAGGUCAACACGGGUCAACACGGGUUGACAUGGGACGACACAGGACGACACAUGACAUCACGGGAUGGCACAGGAUGACAACACGGGACGACACGGGUCGACACGGGUUGCCAUGGGAUGACACAGGACGACACAUGACGUCACAGGAUGACACGGGAUGACAACACAGGUCAACACGGGUCAACAUGGGACAACACGGGUUGCCAUGGGACGACACAGGACGACACAUGACGUCACAGGAUGACACAGGAUGACAACACGGGACGACACGGGUCAACACGGGUUCCCUCACCGCCGCCAGCCCCUGCAGCCGCUCCAGCUCCGCCGCCAGCCUGCGAGAAAUGACGCGCUGAGGGGCCCAGGCGUCCGGGAGAGGGGGCCCAGGCGUCCGGGGAAGGGGCCCAGGCGUCUGGGGAAGGGGCCCAGGCGUCCGGGGAAAGGGCCCAGGCGUCCGGGGAGGGGCCCAGGCGUCCGGGAAAGGGGCCCAGGUGUCCAGGAAGGGGCCCAGGCGUCCGGGAAAAGGGCCCAGGUGUCCGGGAAAGGGCCCAGGCGUCCGGGAAAGGGGCCCAGGCGUCCGGGAAGGGGCCCAGGCGUCCGGGAAGGGCCCAGGCGUCCGGGGCUCACCCUGCCUCCGCAGCUGCUCCCGCGUGGUCCCGGCCUUCGCCAGCUCCGCCGCCAGCCUGGCCGGCGCCUGCGGGGAGACGGCGCCGGGGAGGGGCCCAGGCGUCCGGGAGGGGCCCAGGCAUCC